rnacentral:rRNA from 1 species
UACAGAGGGUGCGAGCGUUAAUCGGAAUUACUGGGCGUAAAGCGUGCGCAGACGGUCAUGUAAGUCGGGUGUGAAAGCCCCGGGCUCAACCUGGGAAUUGCAUUCGAGACUGUGUGGCUAGGGUGCGGAAGAGGGAAGCGGAAUUUCCGGUGUAGCGGUGAAAUGCGUAGAUAUCGUAAGGAAGACCAGUGGCGAAGGCGGGUCUCUGGACAGUUCCUGACGCUGAGGCACGAAGGUCAGGGGAGCAAACGGG